ensembl:lncRNA
AAAAAAGAAGAAUGCAUGUAGGGGAGUGGCCCCGAAGAGAAAGCAUACACUUCCUAUUUUCACUCCCUUUACUAUGCAGAUAUCUUCCUGAUCCACUUCCUGGCUCUCAGAGUUGUGUUCUGGAAGCCUCCUGUGGAUUUAAGGAAGUUACCUGCUCUUUAGGCAUUUUCUCUGCCAUUUCUGUCUUAUCUUCCCGUCUGUCUUCAGAACCCUUUGACACUGUUGCGAGGGACUGUGGAGAUCACCUCCAGCUCUCUCCUCCCAUUGCUCCAGGCCUUUCCCAUCAUGCCCUAGAGCAAAAGGGUUGUAUCUUGGCUAUGAUUUUCACAUUUCUGUACAACAUCCACUAGUAAAUGAGAAGGGAAUGAGGGUCACGAAGGUGGAUGUGAGUUGCUUAGGGCCACAUUUUAGCCUAGUAGUGGCGUCCUUUCUGUUUGGUACGUGGUGGGCUUGUGUUGCAUUUGAAGCUGUGACAGAGGCGAGGUGAGGCCAUGGGAUUCGUGGAUCCUCAAGUCAGUGUGGCAGUUGCUUUUCGGCCUCCUUGAAGCCAGGAACACAUCAAUUCUCUCAAAAGAGACUGAUUUCUCCCAGGAAAGGAUAUGGGGCUCACUAUCAUAAGAAGAGAUAGAGUGACUGGAAAGGGAUACCACUUUCUUUCUGUACCCAUAAUACUCCAUAUGUUUUUCUAUUAUUUACUGAUCUCAUUUUUAGUACUGGAGAUCGAACUCAGGACCUUGAGCUUGUGAGGCUGGCCCUGUGCCGCUGAGCUACAUCCCCGGCCCUGAUCUCAGGGUUGUAUCACAUUUAUUUACCAGGGGAAAUUUCACAAAUUCCACACAACAUAACUCUCCCACCCUAAGAUCCAGAAUCUAUCCUCUUCCCCUGCCCAGGACUACUGCAGGGAAAUUGAUACUGCUGGGAAUAUUUUGUGUCUGUAAGCUGCUCUGGGAAUGGAUAAACAUAUUGAGAACUUCUCAUUGCUUUUGAGUAGGAGUAUGGCUCAAGAAAAGCAUUGCUUCAAGAAGUUUAACCUGGUGGGGGUGUCCUGAUUGUAUUGGCAGGGACUGGAGUAAAAGAAUCAGUUACGAGAAAGUUGCCAUGUCAGGUAUGCCUUCAUGGACAUAGGGAAAAAGCACAUUGAAAUAAUAAUCAUUGAAUUAUUGAUGGGAUAUUAAGAUGGCUGAGCCCCAGAGAGUGUGGUUUAUGGAUAGAAGAGGAAAAUCUGGGGGAAGAGUGACUCAGAAGUGCAGAGGCUAAAUUAUGUCCUUGGCAACGAUGGUGGUGCUGUAAUCCUCCUCAGGGACAGCCCUUCCUUCAAGGGGUAUUGGUGCAGGGUUGAGAGGGCUUGAGAUACUCCCAAUUGUGUUUGCUGUUUGGAAACCCUCUGGGCUUUUUCCUUGCAAUUCUUCUUCCAGAAAGCCAGCUUGAUGCUGCAGUUAGGGCAGGAGGAAAAAGUUUCAGGUGGGAUCAGCUGGUAGGGGAGGAUGAGAUCUGACCUUCGGUGGCAGCCUGAUGUUUUGGGACCACAGAAACAGGCUCACCCCUGUCUUCCAAGCCUGUGCAUCUGAUGACAGGAGAGACAAUGGGGGCAGUGGGUGGGAACCACUGUGACUUCCUGGAGUUAACAGGGUUGGGUAACACUGAAGGAUGAGCUCUUCCCCGGGGGGCCCAGCCCCGUGCACAGGUGGGGCUGCUCCUGCUGAGUGUGGGAGGGAGUUGUCCCAUUUUGGAUGAGCAGAGGGACCAGCGCCUACUACGCCUGCAUCCUUGAGUUUGGGUCUCUGUCUGCUGUCCUCUCUGUCCUCUCUGCAACAGCCCCAUCCCCGGAAGUCCUCGGCAGCAUCCACGUCUCACCCUACCUCGCUGAGACUUCUUCGCCUGCCGUGAGAACAGACGUCAGGUAGAACGUUUUCCAGUUAGACCCAUCAGUCCAAGUCAUAUAGCACUCAUCAUUUUACAAGCCGUUCCGCUUUCCUGGUGUUUGGACUGUCAAGAAGUUGCCUUUAGAUUAAACUGAAAUCUGCCACACAGACCGUAGCUUUGCUGAUGGAGAGUCGUUUGGGUAUUUGACAAAGUACUAUGGAUUGAACCCGGGACCUUCUCACUGAGCUACAUUUCCAGCCCUAUAAUUUUGUUUUAUUUUUUAAUUUUGAGACAAGAUCUUUCUAAGUAGCUAAAUUGCCCAGGCUGGACUUGAAUUUGCAAUCCUCGUGCCUCAGCCUUCCAGUUACAGGAUUAUAGGCAUGCGCCACCACACUUGGCUGUGUAUUUGCCUUUAAUUCAUUAAAACUGAGGUUAUCUUCAAUAGACUGUGUGAAGACUUACGUGUGGUUGGUGCUCAACAGAUGUGUUGAAUAAAUGAAUAUACAAGUGAAUGAAUUUAUCAUACCAUAUAUAUGUAUAUAUAUAACUAUACAAACUAGAAGUUGUUUUUUAAAAAUUAUACUUCAACUGCUUAAAAUCAUAUUUGUAGGUAUGCUCACUUGAAGUGUGAAAUUGUGGCCGUAAGUGAUUUUUAAAAAUCCUGUAGGUUUUGAAAAUAAAAGUUUCAAGAUGGAUGCACUGUUCCCAGCAGACACGUGUGUCUGUCUGCACUUAGGAGGUGGGGUCCGAGUCAGCAGCUAGGACGGGCCUGUUCUGAGUGGCCCGUCACUCUAUCCUGUGGUUGUGGUGUUUUUCAUGCCUCCCAAGUGCUCCGCUACUGCCAUGCGUGUGACAUCAUCGUCGUCGCUCUGAGGAGCCGAGUCAGGCCAGCUGAGGAACCUGUACCGCUGAGUCGUGACUCAGUUAGCAGAGCCCAAGUCCUGUUCCUGCUCCUUUGGACCCUGUGGGCCACUCCCGAGUCCUUUAAACUGCUCUGAAUUUUGCAAACGCACCAUUGCAUGUGUGUGAAGCCUUGCACGUACUCAAAAUUUUCUUGUAAAUAAUUAGCACACACUAAUUUUAAAAAAGUUCCUGGCAUUAGGAGUGAUAAUCCCCAAGAGUGUUAAGGUUUUCCACAGCCUGUUCUCUGUGUUGCCAAGUGUUUACUGCGUGGUCCUCUCCUCCACGCGGAGCAGCUGCAUUUCAACAUGAGCCUCUUACAGAUCUGAAGGGCUGCGUGGUUUACGAAGUUCUUUCGCUGAAAGUGGCUCACGUGAUUCUCACAACAACUUCUGAUCUGGGGGUAAAUAUCAUCUUUCCCCACCAAAACCAAGGGAAUUAACUAAGGAGAAAUAUUUCAAGGGAAUGGAAUUAAUAUGAGAGAAUGAAAAAAUGGAAACAAAGCCUUUGGAAAUAGGGAGGGAUGGAGGGGUUGAAGGGAGGGCAGGGGAAAGGGGAAAAAUAAGAACCAAGAGAGACUAUGUAAAGGUGCAAAUUUCCAAUGAUGAAUGUCAUUAUACUGUACACCUAAAAUGUACCAAUAAAAUAAAAUUUAAAACAACAUUUCAGAUGGAAAAGAAAAUUGUGCAUCUGUUUUUCCAGUUGGGAAUUGCUUAGGAGUGUGUGUGGAAGGAACAAAAUGCCUGGGAGAAAUAUGC